GCCUGCCAGAGGACCCUAGAACCUAAAUGUUAGUGUCGUCUGAGUACUAUAUAAUAGUGAAAACUUUCAACAACGGAUCUCUUGGUUCUGGCAUCGAUGAAGAACGCAGCGAAAUGCGAUAAGUAAUGCGAAUUGCAGAAUUUCAGUGAGUCAUCGAAUCUUUGAACGCACAUUGCGCCCUUUGGCAUUCCGAAGGGCAUGCCUGUUCGAGCGUCAUUAUCAACCCUCAAGCCUGGCUUGGUGUUGGAUCUCUGGUCGGGACUUUGGUCACGACCGAUCCCAAAGACAAUGACGGCGUCCGUGGGACCCUCGGUACAAUGAGCUUUAACCAGCACGUACCGUUCAGGCUCCACGACACGGUCUCAACCCUUAUAUUUUCUCAGGUUGACCUCGGAUCAGGUAG
rnacentral:rRNA from 1 species